GAUGAAGAACGCAGCGAAAUGCGAUACCUGGUGUGAAUUGCAGAAUCCCGCGAACCAUCGAGUCUUUGAACGCAAGUUGCGCCCGAGGCCACUCGGCCGAGGGCACGCCUGCCUGGGCGUCACGCCAAAACACGCUCCCAACCCCCCUCAUCGGGAAUAGGGAUGCGGCAUAUGGUCCCUCGUCUCGCAAGGGGCGGUGGGCCGAAGAUCGGGCUGCCGGCGGACCGCGCCGGACACAGCGCAUGGUGGGCGUCCUCGCUUUAUCAACGCAGUGCAUCCGACGCGUAGCCGGCGUGAUGGCCUCAAAACGACCCAGCAAACGAGGCGCACGUCGCUUCGACCGCGACCCCAGGUCAGGCGGGACUACCCGCUGAGUUUAAGCAUAUCAAUAAGCGGAGGA
rnacentral:misc_RNA from 1 species